UACGUAGGGGGCAAGCGUUGUCCGGAUUUAUUGGGCGUAAAGAGCGUGUAGGCGGUCAGGUAGGUCUGCUGUGAAAACUCGAGGCUUAACCUCGAGCUGGCGGCGGAAACCAUCUGGCUAGAGUCCGGAAGAGGAGAAUGGAAUUCCCGGUGUAGCGGUGAAAUGCGCAGAUAUCGGGAAGAACACCCGUGGCGAAGGCGGUUCUCUGGGCCGGUACUGACGCUGAGACGCGAAAGCGUGGGGAGCGAACAGG
rnacentral:rRNA from 1 species